rnacentral:rRNA from 1 species
CGGCGGCGUGCCUAAUACAUGCAAGUCGAACGCACAGCGAAAGGUGCUUGCACCUUUCAAGUGAGUGGCGAACGGGUGAGUAACACGUGGACAACCUGCCUCAAGGCUGGGGAUAACAUUUGGAAACAGAUGCUAAUACCGAAUAAAACUUAGUAUCGCAUGAUACCAGGUUAAAAGGCGCUACGGCGUCACCUAGAGAUGGAUCCGCGGUGCAUUAGUUAGUUGGUGGGGUAAAGGCCUACCAAGACAAUGAUGCAUAGCCGAGUUGAGAGACUGAUCGGCCACAUUGGGACUGAGACACGGCCCAAACUCCUACGGGAGGCUGCAGUAGGGAAUCUUCCACAAUGGGCGAAAGCCUGAUGGAGCAACGCCGCGUGUGUGAUGAAGGCUUUCGGGUCGUAAAGCACUGUUGUAUGGGAAGAAAAGUUAAGGUAGGGAAUGACCUUAGCCUGACGGUACCAUACCAGAAAGGGACGGCUAAAUACGUGCCAGCAGCCGCGGUAAU